GGUAUAGGAGCGCUGGAAUUGCGCUCCAAAAAAAAAAUGAAUGCUCCAAAAAUUUACUUUCACGGUAAAAUCCCUCCAAAAAUUCACUUUCACCCUAAAAUCCCUCCAAAAAUUCCUUUCACGUUAAAAUUCCUAAGCGGCGACUAAUAAACUUCAUCAGAAUUCAGAAGGUUGCAACUUCAUCAUUCAAAACUCAGAAGGUUUUCAUCUCUCUCCAAGCGACUCUACACAAACUCUACCAUUGGAUUGUCCGCAAAUCAAGACGCAACAGACUAAUUUCCAGCAUCUAGUUCAGGAGAAUGACUAUUCCGAUUCUUGAUGAUACCAAGUUUUGGAUAGUGAGGUUUACAAGAAGCAGAUUUUUGACGACGUACAGAUUGACCAUAUAUCUUUUGCUGCGAAUGUCAAUAAAAUUUUACAUUACAGUCUAGGGUUAUUAGUGAUAUGUAGUUUUUUGCUAAGGGUUUAUGAACACAAUACUGUGACUCGCUUACAUUAUUGAUGUGCGGUGCAAGUAACUGUUGAUCACUUUUGGUAAUUAUUUUAUGAAAGUAGUAUCAUCUUUAUAUUAA